rnacentral:rRNA from 1 species
UACGGGGGGAGCAAGCGUUGUUCGGAAUCACUGGGCGUAAAGGGAGCGUAGGCGGCGUGGUAAGUCAGAUGUGAAAUCCCGGGGCUCAACCCCGGAACUGCAUUGGAUACUGCCUUGCUCGAGUACUGGAGAGGGAACUGGAAUUUACGGUGUAGCAGUGAAAUGCGUAGAGAUCGUAAGGAAGGCCAGUGGCGAAGGCGAGUUCCUGGACAGUUACUGACGCUGAGGCACGAAGGCCAGGGGAGCAAACGGG